UACGUAGGGUGCGAGCGUUAAUCGGAAUUACUGGGCGUAAAGUGUGCGCAGGCGGCCGCGCAAGUCGAGUGUGAAAUCCCCAGGCUCAACCUGGGAACUGCACUCGAAACUUCCGAUCUAGAGUGGUGGAGAGGGAAGUGGAAUUCCUGGUGUAGAGGUGAAAUUCGUAGAUAUCAGGAGGAACACCAGUGGCGAAGGCGGCUUCCUGGACACCAACUGACGCUGAGACGCGAAAGCGUGGGGAGCAAACAGG
rnacentral:rRNA from 1 species